CUAACACAUGCAAGUCGAACGAACCCUUCGGGGUUAGUGGCGCACGGGUGCGUAACGCGUGGGAAUCUGCCCUUUGCUUCGGAAUAACAGUUAGAAAUGACUGCUAAUACCGGAUGAUGUCUUCGGACCAAAGAUUUAUCGGCAAGGGAUGAGCCCGCGUAGGAUUAGGUAGUUGGUGGGGUAAAGGCCUACCAAGCCGACGAUCCUUAGCUGGUCUGAGAGGAUGAUCAGCCACACUGGGACUGAGACACGGCCCAGACUCCUACGGGAGGCAGCAGUGGGGAAUAUUGGACAAUGGGCGCAAGCCUGAUCCAGCAAUGCCGCGUGAGUGAUGAAGGCCUUCGGGUCGUAAAGCUCUUUUACCAGGGAUGAUAAUGACAGUACCUGGAGAAUAAGCUCCGGCUAACUCCGUGCCAGCAGCCGCGGUAAUACGGAGGGAGCUAGCGUUGUUCGGAAUUACUGGGCGUAAAGCGCACGUAGGCGGCGACACAAGUCAGAGGUGAAAGCCCGGGGCUCAACCCCGGAACUGCCUUUGAAACUAGGUUGCUAGAAUCUUGGAGAGGUCAGUGGAAUUCCGAGUGUAGAGGUGAAAUUCGUAGAUAUUCGGAAGAACACCAGUGGCGAAGGCGACUGACUGGACAAGUAUUGACGCUGAGGUGCGAA
rnacentral:rRNA from 1 species